rnacentral:lncRNA from 1 species
GGCGAGGGAGAGUGGUUAGAGAAAAGCAAUCUAUCAGGGUGCACAUCAUGGCCGAGAGGAGGUUUGAAAGUGGUCACGAUCAGCGGCAGAGGGGAGGCACUGGAUGAAGUUGAUGGUGGCACUGAGGGCGGUGAUGCGCACAUCAGGGGAGGAGUGGUGGGAGAGGGAGGAGAGGAAGACCCCAUGGAGGGUGAAGAGGUGAGGGAGGAGAGCGUCGCCAAUGUACUGGGUGAGCUG